rnacentral:rRNA from 1 species
CCUACGGGAGGCUGCAGUGAGGAAUAUUGGUCAAUGGGCGAGAGCCUGAACCAGCCAAGUCGCGUGAAGGAUGACGGCCCUACGGGUUGUAAACUUCUUUUGUCAGGGAGCAAUUUAGUCCACGUGUGGGCUUAGCGAGAGCACCUGAAGAAAAAGCCGCGGCAAACUCCGUGCCAGCAGCCGCGGUAAUAAGGAGGAUGCGAGCGUUAUCCGGAUUGAUUGGGUUGAAAGGGUGCGUAGGCGGAAUAUCAAGUCAGCGGUAAAACUUCGGGGCUCAACCCCGUCGUGCCGUUGAAACUGAUGUUCUUGAGUGGGCGAGAGGUAUGCGGAAUGCGUGGUGUAGCGGUGAAAUGCAUAGAUAUCACGCAGAACUCCGAUUGCGAAGGCAGCAUACCGGAGCCCAACUGACGCUGAGGCACGAAAGCGUGGGUAUCGAACAGGAUUAGAUACCCGUGUAGUC